rnacentral:rRNA from 1 species
GCAAGUCGAGGGGUAACAUGGAAAAGCUUGCUUUUCCGCUGACGACCGGCGCACGGGUGCGUAACGCGUAUGCAACCUACCUUUUACAGGAGUAUAGCCCAGAGAAAUUUGGAUUAAUCCUCCAUAAUAUCUUAAUCAUGCAUAUGAUAAAGAUUAAAGCUUCGGUGGUAAAAGAUGAGCAUGCGUUUUAUUAGCUAGUAGGUGAGGUAACGGCUCACCUAGGCAACGAUAGAUAGGGGCCCUGAGAGGGGGAUC